rnacentral:lncRNA from 1 species
ACAAAGAGAGAGGCAGAGACAGGCGAGGGAGAAGCAGGUUCCCUGCAGGGAGCCUGAUGUGUGACUUGAUCCCAGGACUCUGGCAUCAUGACCUGAGCCAAAGGCAGAUACUCAACCACUGAACCAUCCAGGCAUCCCUAUUUACUCUAUUUUUAAACUGAGAUCCAUUAUUUACUUACGCUUUUACACUGUUAUAUGGAAAGGUGGUCGUGAAAAUUAUGCAGUUUUUAUACAUAUUUUAAGAUAUUUCAUACAAAAAAAAUCACAUAACUGACGUAGUAUGUACUUUUGAGAGGGAAUGAUAUUAAAAUUACAUGCUCUUUUUUUUAAUGUUGAAAUCUGAAACUAAAUUGACAGUUAAAAAAAUUGGAAUAAGAGUUUAUAUGUAGCUUUAAUAUACCGCAUAUAAAAGAAAGACAGUAUCAUUCAUUUUGAAAUAUCCAAAAAUUCUAUUGCAUCAUAUUAUGGUUACCCAGUCAAGUCCUCUAUUAACAAUAGUAGCAUAAAGAAUACAUUUGCACAGGACAUAGCUGUCUUACAUUGGGACACACAAACCCCUAUACACAAAAAAUUCUCAAAAACAUAUAUAUAAUGGUCCAGGCACUAUACAUGUGUCCUUUCAUUUAAUCUUCAUAAUAACCUCAGAAGGUAGAUAUAUAACAAUGCCCAUUUUGAAGAUGGGCAAACUGAGGUUUAGAGAUGUUAAAUAGUUUGCCUGUAAACUUUGCUAUUGUUGAAUCAAAGAGGUAAGAGUGGAGAUUUUUUUUUUUCCCCACUAAUAGGACAGAAAGGCUUAGAAACAGUUUACUGCAAUUCCUAUGACUUGCAAGCUUUAUAUAAACUUGAAUUUGGAGCAUGAGACAGCCCAAGUCCCCAAACCACACCUCCAACAUCCACUAGUUUCCCACUGUUUCCAUGUUUGGUCAAUUUGGUUUCCUGUCCGUUCUCUAGUUCCUCCUUCAUUUCUCUGCUAGAAAUAAAAUGAGGUUAUGAAUCUCAGCCCAAGUAGAUGAAGGGGAGUCUACUUUUGUCAAGCAUGGAUUUUUGGAUAGACUUUCUCAUUCUUUAACUUGGAUAUUCAUCUGACGUGUACUGCUGUGAUCUAUCUGCAAACCCCAACUCCAUCCUCAGGAGUCUAAUUUUUCCAAGAACAAUUAGAAUAUUUCUCAAAUUUGGCAGUUCAGCACUUAAUUAUGCUUCAAGGAGGCCAUGCCUGGCUAGUAUCCCCCACCUUGGAGGUUCGUACUAUCCAGCAAGACUCUCUGUUAGCUAUUCUCUUUCUCUGCUCAGCUGUUAUUACACUAUUAAGGGAAACACUGCCAUAAAAUAUUAAAUAUCAAUAGGCUAUAAUGUGUUUAUUUGUAAUUGUACCAGUCACAGAUUUAUUAUAAUAUAGACUUUACAUUUUUACAUGAAGAUUUUUCCUUAGUUUUUAUCUAUUUUUAUUUUAUUUUAAAGAUUUUAUUUAUUCAUGAAAGACAGACAGUGAGGCAGAGACAUAGGCAGAGGGAGAAGCAGUCUUCUUGAGGGGAGCUCGAUGUGGGACUCGAUCCUGGAACUCUAGGACCACACCCUGAGCCAAAGGCAGACUCUCAACUGCUGAGCUAUCCAUGCGUCCCUUCUUAGUUUUUAGUGUCUUUUUUAAUGAUACUCAAUAUUUUCUCACUCUUUCUGGUAUAUUCUGGGUCCACAUUCAUGGAGAACAAGUCACAAUUGUUGUGUGUGUAUAAAAUGAUGUAUCAGUUCACUUUAAUUUACAACCUACUUGGAUGUGAAUUAAAUUUUGUUGUGGCUAUAAGAUUUUACACUUGUUAACGGAUUUCUAAGGUUCCUAUCACUCAAAAACCCUGGUCCAAACCUCGCUAAUAGACACCAAAUAAUAAAAACAUCUGCUCAUUAACUGAGCUUAGAGAAUUGUCACCCACAUAUUUAAAGUUGUCUUCAUUAAUGACUUUCAUUUCAUGGCCUAAAUUAAUGGUCAUGAUAACACGCUAAACAUUUGUCUUCUCCAUAUGUUUCAUGUACCUAGGUAUCAAGGUAUCAAGAUUAGACUUAAGUUAACAUGCAGUUUUCUUGGAUGUUCAAAGUAAUUUGUUGAUAUUGAUUAAUAAGCAUAAUGUACCUAGAUUCACAACAUGAAUCUAAAUAAGAAAUGGAUUUCAUAGCUUUAAAAAAUUUGGCAUCAUAGAUCAGUACAUGAGGGAAAAAGAUGGAGUCAAUCUGAAGUGAAGAACUCUAAGUGUGUUUGUAUAUCCUUGUCCAGUGUUCAGAGGAAUAACAAUGUAAAAGCAGUCACUUGAAUGACUCUGCCCGUAAGACAAUUCUAUAAACAUGGCCCCUAGGUUGGUUCUAAAACAAUGAAUCUCUAUUUUUUUGACUCACAGAAUACUUUCAGAAAAGAAGCUGAGGCUAAGGACUUACUAUAGUCAGCAGAGCAAAAACUGAAACUGUAAAUAGACAAGAGAGAAAACACAAAGUGUGUGUGUUGGUUGGUGAGGUGAUUGGUUGAACAUUUUUUAUUCAUUUGACCAAGAAAUAGUUACUGAGUAGUUAUUAUGGGCCAGGUACAAUAGGAAUUGUGGGUACUUUGGUAAACAAAAAACAACCUUCCAGUCCACCAAAAGAAGAAGAAGAAUGACAAUAAUAGGAAAAGAAAACAUAAAUAUCAAUUUAUUUUAUUUGGUAUUCCCUUCUCUAUCUUCCCAUUCUGAGUUGGCUGAACAUUAUAUAUAUCCAUGCCAUGCAUUUCUUUUGAUACGGUGAAAGAUAACAAAAUUUUCAAAGUUUGUAAAGUACUUACAAAACUAAAAAACUAAAAUUAAAGCUAGAAAAAGUUUAAAACAUGUUUUAUUCUGGAAAAUAUUCUGGUUCUUAGUUCUAUGGCUUAUUUUUCCUCUACAUUAACUCAAUUUACAUUCUUUCAAUAAGAAAAAAACUACAAAACUAGGUAUAUAAGAAUGUAGUAGUAAUCAUUUUGAUGGCUUAUGUUCAACUGAAAACCUAUCUAAUAGCCUUAAUUUUGCCAUCAAGUUUAAAAGUUCUUUGAAAACAUCCCAUCCCUUUAUGGAUACUAUGACCUUAAAUUUUAAUCACAUCAAGAUUUGGUAUAUUUGUUAUUUAACAAGUGCUUAAAAAUGUUUCUCCAUUCACCCAUCUUCUAUGAAAGUAUCUGAGAGCAAGUCUAGACCGAUGUCUAUGACCUUUGAUUUCACUGAUCUUCUGUAUCAGGAUGUUUUUGUGAUAUUAAAAUUAGUAUAUGCAAAACAAUUACACAUUUACUAAUUUUUUUAACAAUUACACAUUUAAAUGGAAGUGAAAUGUCAUCUGAAAACUGUAAAGCUAUAUACUAAUUUCAGGAAUGGAAAAGUAAACAAUGGAAAACAACUUUAAUUCCAUCAGUGAGCUAUUCUGCUUCUUCUCUUUCCUAAAUCAAGGUUCUGAUUAUAAUCGGAGGAUCAGGAUGGAGACAUAGGAGGCAAAGGGCACUUGCAGUUCACAUGUGGCAAGAGGCUGGGACAAGAAGAAUUUCUCCUAUCCCUUUCACAGUGCAGAUUUAUAUGUAACCUGAAAAGUACAGCCACAACAUCUCAGGAAUGCCUGAAAAUGGCAAGGGGUAAAAUCCUAAUCACAGAUACUUCAACCAUUUUAUGAAAUAUUUAAUUUGUUACAAGCAAUCCCAAAUUUUACACUACAAGUAUCUGACAUUCACAAACUGGAAAAAAAAAAAACCUACAAAAAAUGUUUCAAUUCCCCAUGACAGAAUCAAACAGUACAAUGUUUGUACAAAUGAAUGAAAUUAGUAAAAGAAUAAAGUAAAUAACAUAUUUCUUAAUUUACUUAAUAUAGUUGAAGGUGGCACAGUGGCUACCGUGUUUUUUUUUUAAAGGAAAACCUCUUUUCUUAUUCUCUGCACCACAUUAUGUAGGACCUUUAACAGUGUAAUAUACUGAAAAAUAAUUAAAAAAUCAUUUCCUAAACCAACUAGGUCCUCCAUGACUUCUCCCAUUCAUUUUGUGGUUAAAAUCUUAUAAUAUUAGCUUGAAUUUCAUCUCUGCCUGACACGUUUCAAGCAGUGAAGCAGAUUAGUGCCUCAGAACACUUUAUAGGGUUUCGUUAUCAAUCAGGUUAUGUUCCUAGUGACGCUUUCAACACAAUUAUCUUAUUCGAAUGAACUCUCAUGGAUUGAAGUAAACAAUGCUGUAGCCCACUGCUCUUGUAUACUUUACAUUCAUUUAUUUCCUUUUUCUUUACUUAGACUUAAAGCACGUGCCAUAGAAAGAGCGCAUGUUAAAUAUUCCUGGAGUGUCACAAUAUGUAAUACAAUAAAACAGAUUACAACCCUACCUUUCUUUCACAGCAGUGGUGCCAAGCACAGGUACACCGGAGCAAUCAAUUUGUUCUGCAGACAGUAAGGCUUUCAUAGAAUACUAAUGUAAGAUCUCUUUUCUUUCUCCUUUGCCUUGACUCCCCAAUGCCCGGGUCCCGACCAAUACUAGGAGGAGGGCGGUAUGUCUUCUGCUGAGAUAACCACAACUACUAAUCAAGUCUACGUGUACAAGGGCACAGGAUUAAACCUCCACCAAGCUUGAGUCAGGGUUUGAGAGCAGCUAACACAUGCACAGCACGGUCAAAAUUAAACACACACACACACACACACACACACACACACACACAGACACCCAUGCACAUGCCAUGAAAAUACAGAUGUGUCUACUUCGGUGAACUAAUUCAUCACACUUUACCAUGAUAGAUUUUUUUAUUUCAGGAGCAUAAAAUUACCUCCUGUUGGACUGGGGGCUUAGAUCCACAGUAACCAACAAUAAUUAUUUUUUUCCAUAAAUGAGAAUCAUGAUCAGUAUUCUCUGCAUUACACUGUUCAGAUUUUUAAACAUGGCAUUUUUCUAAAUUGGACUAUCCAAUACAAUUUACAUGGACUUCUACUUUCAAGUACUAACAUAGGGUUAAUGGACUCAGCAAAGAUUCUUAAGAUUUUGCACUUAAAAAAGUAAUAUAAUAGCUCACGUCCACUUCUUCAAGAAAAGCAUGUGCAUUACCAAUAGUGAAAAGAUAUCCAAAAGAUUUUCAUUUAUUUUAAAGUUUUUAUACUAAGUGUAGCCCCACGCUACUUAAAAAAAAAUUUCAGGUCUCAAAAUUAUUUAAAAAACAUUUUUAACACUUUAUAAUUAUGGUAGCAUACUGAUAACUUUGAUGUCAUAAAUCCAAAAUCCAGAGGUUCCUCUCUACAAAGCAUUUUUACUUGGCUUAUUUCUUCUUUUAUCCCAAACGUGAAAAGGUAUGCCAAUCAUUGAGUAGGGUGAUGACAGAAGUUGUUAAAUAUUUUUUAACAACACAUAUUAACCUCAUUUUGAUUUGCCUGCCUUAAUUUUCAAAUAACUCCUAAAAAGUCCUAAUGGUCAAGGGGCUGCAAACUAAGCAACAGUUAAGGACAAAACACUCUAGAUAAUCAAAGAAACUUAACAGGAGGCUUCCUAAACCAGUUCUAUUUUCAUGUACACAAAUGCUUUAACACUGCUAUAAAAACAUGGGUCUUACUCUGCACUCUUCUCUUAAAAAAAAUGCAGCAGGAACAAUUAAGAAAUACUAGGGCCUUCAAUGAAGUAUUGCAAUAAUGUUUAAUCGAUACUGAUGCAUUUGUCCUUGACACACUGACCAUGUCAUCAGGCUACUGUCAUGUGAUAUCAUGUCAUUUCCCCACCUGGCUCAUGACCUUGCCCUCUAAAUGACCUAAAGCUUCCCUCAAGUAGCAGGAGGCCCCUCCCCGCUGUCUCAGCAAGGUCGAAUGGGUCAGCGUGUCCUCAUCUAUAAUCCACCACCAUUUGUCAGCAGGGAGGCUGGAGGAGGCAGGCUUGCUACAAGGGGAGAAUGCCCAAUUAGGCAGCUGUCACACAAAGCAUAGGCUGCAAAAUUAUCCCCUGUCAAAAGAAAGAGCAGCUGCGGGUGCCAAUUACAGCAACCUUUCAACCCUUUAGGUACUGGAAACUACACAGAAGUAAAUGAAGAACAAUUAGUGAUAACAAAUCGAUGAAUUAGGACAGUGAAUUAGAAAUUACUAGCAGGUGAGCCUGGGUCAUAUAUGACAUAAGGGCAUACCAGACUCCAGGCAAGGGCCAGGGAUGCACACAAUCACACUAACCAUUUUCUUGCAUAUAGAUUUUCCCUCUGGCAUUUUCUUCUUACAAACCCAAAACCCUUUAAAAUACCCAUAACCUAGAAGUAUACAUACCUUUUCACUUUUCAUGGAAGAUACCCAAAUAAAUUGUUUCUGGACUAGAAGGAAAUCUUUCAGAACAGUAGGUCUAUAGUUAAUUCUAAAUCAUUCUCCUUACACAAUCUAUCAUGCUAUGUCCUCAAACUUAAAUUUAAGCGUGGCCCACAAAAUCUAAAAUAUCAAUUUAAAUAAUCACACUUAAAAUAUUAUCCAUCUUCAUCAAGUACUUGCCCUGAUGCUACUUUAAUCACACUCACGGGGAACUGUCUCCAAGAAAGCAACUGGGUAUGAAUUCUAAGACAACUGUGAUGUUAAUAUCAUCACGCUGACGUUACAUUUCUCUACAUGGUGUGAUUCUGUGGAUAAAGAAAUAACUGCAAUGUGUGCUUCUGUGUAUGAUACAUAUUUUAAAAAUCAACUAUAAGUUACUCAGGUUACUCUGCUCCUACUGAGGUGAUAUGCAUCAAGUCUCAAGCAUAGAAAGCCAAUUCACCUGGACUCUUUCCAACGAAUGUCUUUGGUAGUUAGCACUGGGAGGCAACAACAGAGGAACAAAAUAGGCAAAGGAGCCCCAUAAAGGAGAGGGAAUCUAAUAUGGCUUAGUGUUUGUGGACAUGGUUUCACUGUGCCUUUAAAAAGUUAUGUAUGAUCAGAAACAACUUUCUUAAAGACCACUUUAAACCAACAUGACUUUUUUUUUUCCUUAGGAAAAAGCAUGUACCAUCCUAUACUGAUUCUUUGAGAGUUGAGAAACCUGGAUGAUCUGCGCUACAAUUUCUAAAGAAGCAGGGAUAAACUGUUCAAUGAGAAUUCUAAAUCACAAAUGGGCAAAAAAGAGGGAGACAAGGUGAGGCAAUAAAAAGCCCUUCGCUCAUCCCCUCCAACAUAUUAUAAAUAAAUCACAGUUGCCAGAAGGAAAAGUUCAUAAUUCCUAGCUCCUAAAUCAAGUCAUUUGAUAACAUUUCCAUGAGAGAACUGUCGGCAGAAAACUUCUCCAUUAAAAGUUUAUCCAAGAAUUUGAUUCAUAAAUUAUGUUUCACCCUGUUAAAAAAAAGGGGGGGGGGCACUUACACAUUUCCUUUAGUUUAGAAUGCCACCUUCUAAAGUCAAACCGAAGGAUUCAGAGAAAGAAAUGGCAAGGAGACCGGAAUGAAGGAGUUAAUGCCUUUAAAAUUCAGCUUCCAUCAUACAUGGGUGACUAUCUCUUUAAAUAAUUUAAAUCCUCUCCAUCAACUACAAAGCUGUUUUGAAGCCAUUUAGCUUUGUUCUUUACAUGUGUUCUAAUUAAGAAAUGACCUUGUCAUCACACACACCAUAAAUCCGGGAUUAUUUCCUACAGCAAAAAAUUCACAGAGUCCCCCCAAAAAAGAAAAAGCAGGGGGGAAAAAAGACUUCUUCCUCAGUUCCUUACUAAAGGAAGUUGUUGGUUGGCUAAACGCUGAAGCAGUUUCACCGCAUAAUUUUUUUUGUUGUUGUUGAAUGUCACAGGGCGGGUUAGUGUGACCUUGAGCUGCAUCCGCAGCACAGCAAGGGUCGAGAUGCCUGCAGGCGCCCUUGUACUGGAUUUGCAAGACAAAAACCUUCAAACUGGCUGAAGGACAUCUUAAAUCUCUUCAAAGGUUUUCCGAACUAAUCUGGGCUGCUCUUAGCAGGAUCUGUGCCAGUGUGAGAGGCAAAAUUAAAAACAAGGUCUUUGACAGGAUGUUGUCUCCUCUUAACCCUUCCCAAGCAGCACAGAACAAAUCACCAGCUUUCUGGAGAGAGAGUUUACCUAGAAGCAUUCGUUCAUAACAAAUUAUGUAAGCAAGCGAUCACAAAGGAUGGGGCAGCCACCAAUCCUCACAAUUAAACCUCCCAUUGCACUUAUUAAAGAAUUGGGGGGAAUCUUCUUCUUGCCCAUAUUUUAGUGCAGUGAUAGGAAAACUUAAAGCUCUAUUUGUUAGCUGUUAGGUUUGCGGAACAGUCAUAAAUUAAAAAUAAGGAAAUCUUUCCAUCAACAUUAAUCUCUAGAAUUUCUUUUUCUUUUAAGAAUAAGCCUCUAGCUGGCUAAGUCACAAACUUCAUGCAUAUUACAUAUAGCUUACUAAAAUUGUAACAGGUAA